rnacentral:rRNA from 1 species
UCCAGACUCCUACGGGAGGCAGCAGUGAGGAAUAUUGGUCAAUGGCCGGAAGGCUGAACCAGCCAAGUCGCGUGAGGGAAUAAGGCCCUAUGGGUCGUAAACCUCUUUUGUCAGGGAGCAAAGGCGUCCACGUGUGGACGAGAGGAGAGUACCUGAAGAAAAAGCAUCGGCUAACUCCGUGCCAGCAGCCGCGGUAAUACGGAGGAUGCGAGCGUUAUCCGGAUUUAUUGGGUUUAAAGGGUGCGCAGGCGGGAGAUCAAGUCAGCGGUAAAAUGUCGGGGCUCAACCCCGGCCGGCCGUUGAAACUGGUUUUCUAGAGUUGGAGAGAAGUAUGCGGAAUUCGUGGUGUAGCGGUGAAAUGCAUAGAUAUCACGAAGAACUCCGAUUGCGAAGGCAGCAUACCGGCUCCAUACUGACGCUGAGGCACGAAAGCGUGGGGAUCGAACAGGAUUAGAUACCCCAGUA